rfam:Triticum aestivum genome assembly, contig: Triticum_aestivum_CS42_TGACv1_scaffold_146447_2BS
UUGGUACUCCGUCCGUCUGGAAAUACUUGUCAUCAAAAUGAAUAAAAGGGGAUGUAUUUAGAUGUAUUUUAGUUCUAAAUACAUCCCUUUUUGUCCAUUUUGAUGACAAGUAUUUUCGGACGGAGGGAGUACUUG